CAUAAUUAUUGAAGGGGAUCAAAAGAAAAGGUAGUCAUCAGCAUAUCGAUUCCAAGUCUCUUCCCUGAAUUCACUCUGGCUUCCCUUUUUUGCCUCUUUUUUGUCAUCUGAUCUGGAAAGAAGGGAGGGAGUUCCUAUUAUUGUAUAAAGAGAUUCGACUCUUCCUCAGAUGGGGUCACGGACAGCUGAGCUAAGCCAACAUACUACAGCGAGCUUAACAGGUGCUCGGUUCGGUUUCCAUGGCCAGAUAUCUCUUCGUUGAAUGGGAAUUCGAAUUUUGCUUCCCUUUUGCCUGUUUUUGUAUAUAUUUAUAUUUCGUGUAACAAGUUGAGCUGUGGACAGGGGCCAGCGAAGGUCUGUAAGCUGGGUACAAGCGGCCCGUGUCAGAGCUGAGAGCGAGAGCGAGAGCGAAAGAGAGAGAUAGAGCGAGAGGUUCUUUUGGGAGAGAGAGUUAGAUUUUUCCUCAGUAUAAUGUUUGGAUCUGUUGUCUCAGACUGUGGCAGCAAAAAUGGGGAUGUUUAUGCAUGGCCAAACUACAAAAAGAUUAGUUCCUCCUGAUCAACUCCAUGUUCUCUUUCAGGGUAUGACUAUGACCUCUGCUUUCUUUUAUUUUCUUCUUCUUCCCCCCACCCCCACUUUUACAAUAGAAAAUUACCAUGCAACUACUACAAUCGUUAAGAAAUUUAUGGCUUCCCAUACCUUACACCUUGUAGCCUUUUAAUUUCCAGUGCUGACUCUGGCUCGUUUGAAGAGUAAAGAAUUCUUUUCUUUUGGGUCAAAAAUCAUCCUAAUCGGGACAGUGGUAUCUUAGGUCGAAGAUCUUGUGUAUGGGGAGGGGGAGGGGACCAUUUAUGUGGGGGCUUCUGUUUUUUGUCUUUUUUGGCCAGAACUUAACUGUGGUUGAUUCUCUGUUAUUGUUAACCCUUGUAUAAUUAGACUAACCAUGUUCUUCAACUUUAAGAUUGGUUGAUGUC